CACCUCAUUGCAGACCCACCAUCUGUGCAAUCACCCGAGGAAGGCAGGGCCUCAGCUGAAAUGGGUUCUCCCGUUGGAGUUGUAGUGGAUGCCUCAUAUUAUGUAAAGUUUUCUGAAGCUGGUGUUCAAGCCACCACUUCGACAGCUGAAGCUUCAGUAAAUACCACUUCAUUGCUAAAGGAUGCUGAAACUCAAACUGACAUCACAGGCAGUGUUCUGAAG